rnacentral:rRNA from 1 species
UACGUAGGAGGCAAGCGUUGUCCGGAAUUACUGGGCGUAAAGCGCGUGUAGGUGGUGGGACAAGUCUGCUGUGAAAGCGCCUGGCUUAACCGGGCGAGGUCGGCGGAAACUGUCGCACUCGAGGACGGUAGAGGGGGGUGGAAUUCCCGGUGUAGUGGUGAAAUGCGUAGAGAUCGGGAGGAACACCUAUUGCGAAGGCAGCUCGCUGGGACGUUACUGACGCUGAGACGCGAAAGCGUGGGGAGCAAACAGG